GAAGAAUGACUGUUUAUUUGCCACUCUCAUACAAGAUUAAACAUUUAGAUCUUAUAUAUGAGAAUGUAGGAUGAUUUUCCAUAUUGCUUUGCCAUUUUUGCAAACGUUGCUCAACAUUAUGGCUACUGAAAAUGGAAGAGAAGUGUUGUUUGAACAUUUAAGUUGUUUAAUUAGUUAGAGGAGAGCAAGAUUUUGCUAUCAGAACCUUUAUUUUAGCAUAAUACAUUGAAUCAGCUUGGUUCUCUUUCUAAUAUGAGUGUUUUCAGUUAGGCUAUUACUUGUCGAGUACAUUGGAAUAUUUUGGAGUUAAAACAGAAGCGUGUAAUUUUUUAUUUUUUUUAGGUAAGAGAAGAGUAUAAAGUUAAGAAGGUAAUAGAUUAAAAUAAAUGCAGAAGAGGAAAAAGAAGUAAAUGAGAAAAACCUGGAGUCAUAUUUUUUAUAUGUGUAACAAAUUACACAUACGUGUACAAAAGCACCUGUGGUGUGAGAGUACCCAAUUGAUUAUAAAUGUAAAUUGAUUUGUGGAUAAAUCUGCAUCCAAGUUGGUGCAAUUAGUGUGAUGCCCGUAUCUGCAGAACCUGUGCCCUCGAGCUUUUAAUUUCCCUUGUUUACAGACACCAUCUGGCUGAAAGCCCAAUUAUCAUGCAAGUAGAAAGAACCUGGUUUAUCUUUUGAUCAUUCUUCAAAAAAGUCAAGUUCCAUCUCAAUGUGUUUGGUACUGGGUGUUGCUAGUUAUCAUCACAGUAUAGGCUCAGUGAUUUGUGUAUUGUCCUACCUUUUGGAAGAUGCUGGAGAAGUUUAUAAUAUGGACUCAGACUUGCUGGACAUGUUUGUAAGUUUCAUCAAAUCCUUGGUAUAUUUCCUGUAUUAUUUAAAAUCAUCUGUAAUUUGAUGAUAAGGAAAGGCCCUCGAAGUGCCAGAUUCUGCCAGGUGACUUGAUUUCAUGUGCCAUAAAAUCUAAGACACUAAAGCUCUGAUGCCAAUAAAAGUAGAAUCUAAACUAAAAGAUAGCUUAUGUUUGAUUGUAUUAACUCAUCCAAUUAUAAAAGAGUAAAUAAAUAAACUAAAGGUAAACUCCAAGUAUUUUGAAAUAUGAUCAAAGUUAAAUACUGAUCAAUCUAAUGAUUUUGAAUCAAAUCACAAUCCUUACAGGAUAUAAACUCCAAAAUGCCAGGGAUGUGAUGGGAUUCACUAGUAACAAUCUAGUACAUUUUUACAUGCUGUAAUCUUCUGUAUCUAUCACAGCCUCGAUAGUAGCUUCUUUAAUAGAAAGCAGCUUGUGUAUGCCAUGGCCAAAGGCUUAGUUGAGUUCUAUAAGUAUUAGGUUGUCUAAGGUGGAGUGUACACGCCAUCUGCAUCUGCUCUCUGUCCAAGGGAGUAGGUGGUCACCAAAGAUGGUAUGUUUUUUUCCUCACUCUGAUGUUGCAUUUUGUGGCCAUUACUCAUGUUCUUUCUGUAGCAUUGACCAUUGUACGUGUCUGAUCAACUGGAUUCCAACUUACUCUUGUCUUCUUCAAGUGAGGGAUAGCAUCAUUGAAUCGGUGGCUGGCGCAGCAAUGGCAGACAAGCAACUGAAAGUUGUCAACAGCAGUAGAUAGGAUGUUCAUUGCCUCCAGCAGUGAAAACUGUGGCAAGUUGAAUACUUCCCUCUCAUCAGUCAUCACUGGCAAAGUGCAAAAGCGUUUGGAAGCUGAAUAGGACACCCUGUUGUUGAACAUUGAAAUCAGUAGACAGGAAUCAUAGGAUCUAGUACAAAUGUUUACCAUGGAUACAAUCCUCAUGUGGAACAUACAGUUUCUGUUGAACCAACACCGGCACUAGUUAAUUAUUUCAAGGCUUGGAAGAUUCAAAAGCGAAGUUGGAAACCAGGGUGGCUUGCGAAUGAGGAAGGAAGUGAUACUUGCUGCUUCGUGGGUGGUAUUGGGUGGAAUUUAUCCCAUUCAAAUUGUUCUAUUGGAUUAUGGAUUCUUCUUAUUUUAUUCUAUUUCUUGAAUUUUAAAAAUCGCAUUUUAACUCAGAUUUUUCACCGUUUUCAUUGGACUCCUUCCGUCCAAAACCGAUUAGCUAG